rnacentral:tRNA from 1 species
AGUGGUUAAGCGUUUGGCUGCUAACCAAAGGUCGGUGGUUCAAAUUCACCAGCCACUC